AACAAUGAGGACCCAUCGCGCCGUCAGACACCACCACUACCUAAACCUCCAGCGAACAGCCACGGGCCCUCCGCCCAACUGCCGCUGAUUCCACACCGAUUAUCUAGGUUUCUUUCAGCCCUGGAGAUUAAUGGAGUAUUUCAUGGAUUAAGAGAAUGAGUCUACGUGUGGUCCAGGUUUAGUCAAGGCGUGGUCAGAAUUCAGAAAUUGUCUCGGGUUUAUUCAAUUGGUGUGGUCAGAAAUUGUCUCGACAACUAUAGGUAUUACAUGAAAGUAAAUUGAGCAUUUUUUUGUUAAUUCUUGAUCGAUUAUGAUGGAUUUAAUUUUUUGUUUAAUUUUGUUUGGUUUUUUGCUUAAAUUUUUCUCUUUUGUACAUAUAGCCUAUAGGAGUGGAUGUUCUGUUGAAUUGGUGUUGGGGAAAUAUGUAAUCUUUUUGGCAUUGGUAAUUUGUUAUUAGUAAUUUAUUUGAAACUUUUGUUACAACAAUUUACACUGUAUCCUAAUCAUUAAGCCUUCCAUUUACUUUAAACCCAGAAACGAUAGUAUGUAUUUAGCUGCUACAAGUAAAUAAUCAUGACUUCACUAUAUUAUUUUCCCUUAACCUGUUCUCUUCCUUGGUCUAGCUCGGUCAUAUAUAUGUCUAGAUUUGCAAUUGCUGAUUUGUUGUAAAUAAUCUUCGUCCAAAUGUGCUUGUUCUUAUGCUUCCUUCAUUGUUUCUUGAUCUAUGGAAGUCAAUGCCCUGUUCACAAAAAUAAUGCUCUAUUUAUUUCAUGAUUAAGUCCCAAAUUUAAGAAGACUCUGAUAAGAUACGAAAAUCAUGAUCAUUUGUAUUUCAGUUCAAAAUUUCCCUGUUUCAAGAUAUCCAUGUAUGUAGAAUCAAUAUCAGUUCCUCAUAUAAAUGAAAUGUAUUAACUAAGAUGAUGAUGAGAAAUCAACUUAUAUACUUGGAACAUUGGCUUACUGAUUGUCAUAUAAACUAACUAUUGUCUCAAGGCAUUUAUGUUUUGUUCAUUUCAUACAUAUAAAAAUUUCAUAAAAAUGCAAAACAUCAAAGAAAGCUUAGCUCAAGAAUCUUAGACCUGUUCAUAAGAAUACUGAAGAUAAACUAGUAAGUACUCUUUACUUUCCACUUCUUAGAAGUGAUGUCUUCAUAUGGAUGCUAGUAAGCUGAAUUAUUUAUUUUGAGUUGGAAUUUGAUAGAGUAAAGGUGGAGAUGACGCUAACAAUAUAAUUUACUGAACGAGAGGAACUCCUCCACAACGGAGGCCUACAGCAAACACGCUGUUUACAAACUUAAUCCCAGCAUAAACCCUACUGCUACGAUACUCACUAUAAAUAAUAGAAAAGGAAACCCUAACUUACUAAGCCCAUGCAACAUACUGGACGGGCUUAAGGACUCAUAAUAAUUAUUGACCCAAACAUAAUAAAUGACUUAACAAGAUAAGAAGAAAUAAAGAUAAACUUAAUCAGCCAAGGUAUAUCAAUAGCCUCCCCGGGCAAAACAGCCUUGUCCUCAAGGCUGGAGUAUGGACCGGAAAUAAGAUGCCUCAACAGGCGCAUGCUGGUGUAGUGCAUCGAACUCGGGCUCCCCCAAUUCAUCACACACAAGGACGUUCAACGUCUUAGGCGGGCAGCGGUGAAGGGGUCCGAAAGUCAGACCGCAACGGAAGCAGGUACCAGCGGCAAGAUGUUUUUGAAUCUCUGAUUGCGGCAGUUGGCGAAAGUUUUUGGCCUUGCUUAAAGGUAGUGAGGCGGCAGAAACCGUGGAGUCGGAAGAGUAGGUAGCUGUGGCUGUUGGUUGGCCGGCUGUGAGAGGGGUAACACGGUGGGAAAACAUGGUAGGGGUACUAGGACGGGCAGCACGGCGCGCUGCGCUGACCGCAGAGGUGUAGUCAGUGAGAGCGUUGUCCUGUAUCUGCUCUCGCACCGAACGCUGGAGACCACGGAGGAAAUAUCCUAAUCACUGGUCAUCCGAAAGGGGAGGCAGCUGGGCCAUGCGGCUUUCGAAAGCAGCGAUGUAAUCCUCCAGAGAUCCUGUUUGAUGUAAUAGAAACAAGGCCUCGUAGGUGUUGAGCGUGGAGGCAUCGCCGAAACGCGCCAAUAAGGCUUGGGUGAAUUGUGGCCAUGCCGGGUUGGGGUUACGACGCAGGAGUAGUUGUAACCAGGAUAUAGCUGCGCCAGACAUGCCGAUAAUAGCAAGCUGCAGCUUCAUGGCCGGGGGAAUGCGAUGAACGAGAAAAUAUUGGUUGGCUCGAGCAAUCCAGCCCACGGGAUCAGAUCCAUCGAACCCGGGUAAGUCAGAUUUUUGAAUCGGAAUAGUGGUGGGGUUGGUGUUGUCGGGAACGAACGGCUGUUUCCCAGUGGAAGAGUCGCCGGGAUCAUCUGGAACGAAGGGUUGUUUUCCAGUGGAAGACACGGCGGCCAAGAUGGCUGCAAGUUGAGUUUCCAUGGCAGAACGGUUAGCGUCGACUGCUUUGGUAAGGGAGGUUAGCGAUGUCUGCAACUCUAACACCACCUUCUCUAAAUAAUCCAGUCGAGACUCGGUGCUGCGCGUCGUAGCAACCAUGGCAGAUCGGACCAAUUGAUAGAGUAAAGGUGGAGAUGACGCUAACAAUAUAAUUUACUGAACGAGAGGAACUCCUCGACAACGGAGGCCUACAACAAACACGCUGUUUACAAACUUAAUCCCAGCAUAAACCCUACUGCUACGAUACUCACUAUAAAUAAUAGAAAAGGAAACCCUAACUUACUAAGCCCAUGCAACAUACUGGACGGGCUUAAGGACUCAUAAUAAUUAUUGACCCAAACAUAAUAAAUGACUUAACAAGAUAAGAAGAAAUAAAGAUAAACUUAAUCAGCCAAGGUAUAUCAGAAUUUCUCGUACAAUUAUUGAUGAUAUUUUAAUAUAAGUACAUUAUGAUAUUGUUUUGAGUUUGUAAUUUGUUUUCUUUUGUUUUGUGUUUUGUAAAUAGACUCUUUUAAAGGAGUUGAAGCAAAAGUUGCUUGAAAAUUUGCGGGACGAUAUUGAUGCUAAUAAUGAGAUCUAUAAAGAUGUUAUUGGAAAGGAAGCACCAGGAUGUUUACGCAGUAGUAGUGUUGCUGCAAAGAUUGUCAUUUGCACUUCGCAAGAAGAAUUUGAUAAAAUUGUGCACGAGAAAUCUAACAACAUAGUGGCAAGUAUUCAAAAGGGAUUUGAAGAGGAAAUUUCAAAAUUCAAAGAUGAUUAUUUUUCGCAAAUGGAGAUGCUUCAGGCUCGACUACUAACAUUAGAGGAUCACAAUGUCACUGUAAGUUGACAUUAUAUACCUAAUUUACUUUAUAAGAUAUUUUAUAACUUAUACUUUUUAUUAUAUAUGCAAGGUAUCUGGAUCAUUCAAUCCCAGCGCAUUCAAGCUCCCAAUGGAGGGUCAUCAUCUUACGAAUUUAUGAACAUGAACUUGGAGAAUUUGAGUGAAGCAACUGAAAAUGUUGAGGUAAAUGAUCAAAAUUUUAAUAAUAUUUCAAAGUACAUUAAAUUUUACAAUUUUUGUGAUAUUAAUACCAUCUUCAACCAAUUUAUAAGAUGAGAGAAGAGAUAAAUAACUUGGAUGGGAACAAUAUGGACAUUUGUUUAGACGAUGCACCCCUGCAAGUAUUAUUAUCGAUUAUACUUUUUAAAUAAUAUAUUAGUACAUGUAUGAAAUAUAAAUUUGUUAACAUUUUGUAGGAACAAGGGGAAAAGUACCACAAGAAAGAGCAAGGGGAAGUCAAAUGGUCGUUGAACGUCACAUUUUCACUUAUAGGAUUACAUUUUUGCAUAGCUAGAUAUAUUUAGACUUUGAUAUUUGAUGUCAGGUUUUU
rnacentral:lncRNA from 1 species